GCACGAGGUGUCCUCUCACCAGCAGCAGCUGCCAUCUCCUGAUUCAGGACACAGAGCCAGAAGAUAUUUGCACAAUAGAGAUGGAGAUGGACAUCCUUAGCACUGUUGAAGAUGAUGUUGCCACUCUUCAGACCAACCUAAAUGUAAGGUGCCUGUCUGUGGUUCUGGAAGAGCAAAUCGUGCUGGAAAAGAUCUUCCGACAGCUGUUGUUCUCCUCUUUGGUUUGAUUAAUUUCCUCAUUAUGAACUACCCCAAAGAACUGAAACACAUCUUUGAAACUAUUCAGAAAGUGUUUAUUGGCCUUGAUCCUCAGUGCUCAGCAAGAGUCCAGUAUUUCAAAAACAAAAUGCAUUUGUUUGUACACUGAAAUUGUGUUACUCUUGGUGUUGUCACGAAACUUAAAUUCAGUUUUGAUUUUACAUUUUCAAAUUUUAAAAACAUCAAUUUCCCACCAAUUGAUAGAUUGGCUGUUGUGUUCAAGUGCUCAACAUAAAUGACUGUGAUUGGCUGAGAAGUUCACCAUUUCACUGCUCUUCACUGAUGUUCAUGGAACCAUGCAAACACACACACACACACACACACACACACACACACACACACAAAC
ensembl:lincRNA